CUAUGCCUGGGCGGAUGCCACUCACACGAUUCCAAUGAGUUCUCUCACUCAGUUCUUGUCUUAAAUGGGCGGCUAUGGGCUGCUUUGCUCUCUGUCCAGAAAUCAUGAACAGUAAGGGGCAGGUGCCUUUGCACUGAUGGCCCUGAGUCUGAGAGAUUUACAAGCUGGCCUUUCAAUCCAGAGGCUUAUCGCUGAAAAUGAAAACUAGAAAAGCACGAAUAUGGUUCAGACAAGGAAAAAAAAAAAAAACUUCAAAGACAUCCAGCCAAUAAACCCCAAAGAAGGCUACAUAAACUGUUUAAGCCACCAUGAGGCGAGCAUGUUUGCUCUAACAUGACCUAAAAUCAACGGAGCCCAAUUCAGGAUGAACCAUGAAAGAAACUUCUGAAACUGAGCUACAUCCCAGCAGACUUUGGAAACUUGACCUUUUACCAUUGGUUUCCUUUUGCUUUAGAAAUGAUGAGUCAAGUCAGGGAGUGGUGACACACGCCUUUAAUCCCAG
rnacentral:lncRNA from 1 species